UUAAAUAAUCUUUUUUAUUUUAAAUAUAAAAGUUUUAUUCUGACUUAAAUAUUUAGAAUAUAAUUUUUGUAUAUAUGUAUUAAUAAGAAUACAAAAGAUAGUAUAUAAUAUUACACAACUUAUAUGGGUGUAGAAAUUUAUUUGAAGAUUGAAGAAAUGUGUGCCAGCAUUCGCGGUUAUACACAUAAUUAUUUAAAUAUAAUUAGUAUAAAUUUAAUUUGGGGGUAGAGAAAAAUUUAAGUCUAUUUCAGGUAAAAUUGUUUAAGGUGAUAAUAUUUGUUUUAAAUUUAAGUAAAGUUAGAGCAGAAACCUGGAUUAGAUACCCAGUUAUUCUAAUUAAUAAAAAUUUACUAAAGUAGUAAAUUCUUUUUAAACUUAAAGAAUUUGGCGGUAUUUUUACAUAUUAGAGGAACCUGUUGAGUAAUUGAUAGCCCACGAUAUACUUUACAUUUUUAAAAGCUUAUAUAUCGUUGUUACAAGAAUAAACUAUGGAAGUUUUUUCGGGUAUUAAAUAAAUGCCAUGACAAAUCAAGGUGUAGCGAAUAAUAAUGCUUUUAUGGGUUACAAAAAUUUAUAAUUAUGGUUUAAGUAUGAAAUACUAAAAUAAAUUGGAUUUAUUUGUAAACUUAUAAUUUAGUAUAAUAGGUUGAUAUAUGUUCUAAAAUAUGUACACAUCGCCCGUCGCUCUCUUUAUAUAAGAGAUAAGUCGUAACAAAGUAGGUUUGCCGGAAGGGAGGUCUUGUUGGAUUUU
rnacentral:ncRNA from 1 species